ensembl:lncRNA
UCGAUUGUGAUGGAAACACCGGUAUGAACGGUACGUGAGAAAUUCAAUGAAUCGGCAGUGGCGGCUGGAAUGUUGUGCCGGUAGCCUCUGCAAUCGAUAUCUACCUCUCACUCAUCUCCAGCUCAACGUGUGCCGCUUCUGCUUGUGUAAAAGGCUGCCAGCCUUGUUCUCAACCCAAAGGAUCUGCACACUGUAUAAAGUUGCAGAACUCCUCAAAGAAAAUCACACAACUGCAAAAUGAAGUUUAAUUUGACUUUAUUAGCGCCCAACCCCCCCCAGUCCCUCCUCAGCUCAUCCAGAAUGCAGCAGCUCAACUGGUCUUUAACCUUCCAAAAUUCUCCCACACUACCCCACUCCUCCACUCUCUUCCCUGGCUACCGGUGGCUGCCCGCAUCCAGUUCGGUGAAUGGAUCGGGUCCAGUCUACGUCCAGGACGUGGCCAAACCCGACAUCCCAACCCGCACACUCCGCUCUGCAUCUGCCAAACUGCUCGUCCCUCCCUCACUGAGAGCAAAACACUCGACUAGAUCACGACUCUUUGCUGUCCUUGCUCCGAAAUGGUGGAACGAGCUCUCUGAAGACACCAGGACCGCAGAGAGCCUUCACAUCUUCCGCCGCAAACUAAAGACACACUUCUUCAGACUCUACCUCGACUAAAAAACACAAAACAAAUUGUAGCACUUGAAUUGUAUUUAUAAUGGCUUCUAGCAGUUGUAAAUCGGCUUAUUUGAUGAAAUUGCACUUUCUUCCUUCUGGGUUUGUAUCCUCAUGCACUUAUUGAAAGUCGCAUUGGAUAAAAGCGUCAG